GAUACCCCUUGUUGUGGCGCGUCACUGGUGAACCAUAUGUCCUAUCCCUCGCUAACCUAACAUCACGACCAGGCAGUGCGAGCGCUUUGACAGAUGAUCAACAUAAUUAGUCAGCAGAAUUGAUAGCGAAGUGACAAAAGUAAUCCAACUCACGUUUUUCCGUACAAUCACAGUUCUGUCGCGAGUUGUAAUUAAAUUAAUAGUAGUUAUUAUACGUUGCACUAUAUUAGCCACACAAGUGGAAACCUAAUUAAAAAGCAGAGACUAGAAAGUGAAUUCAGAAUACACUGUAAAAAUACACUGUAAAACAGGAACCUGAAAAGAUAGGGAAACACUGUAAAUCCUUUUAGCUGUGCAGUAAACAACUAAAAGAACGGUGUUUGUUCCGACUUCGGGAACAUUCUAAAAGGAUUUACAUCCUAAGUUGGAUGAUUGAUUGCUACCCAAGGGCGUGACACUCUUUUAUAAAAAUAUUUCGCCUCAUUUUAUAUUUUUUAUAUCCCCUUAUAUUUAUUUAUAAUUGUCUAUAAAAGUUAUAACUAUAUUCGAAGCGUUGAAAGUUCGAAAAAAAUUCGAACAGCCGUUACCAUAGUAGCCUUAGUUACGCGUGUGAUUAAAAACAAUGAAAAAAAUGGUGUCGUAUCAACAAGAUAUGCGUCAAUCACGAAUAUUACCCAGCAGCUGUAGCCAUCAUCCGAUCAGUCGGUAACAAAAACGUUCUAACGGCGGUUCUGUCACAGGGUUUGAUGUUAAUUGUACAACCGUAACUAGAUGACCAUUGGCUAACAGCAGCAGCUCCAUCAGCAAUAACAAACUAGAAUUGUCACCCAGAUUCCGCAGCAGUACAUACAGCAACAUCACCUUUAGGUAUAACAGUAACAGUAUACAAUACAAGAAGCGGGAGCAUCGCAAGCAAAAGGAACCACUGUUCAGUUUGUGCAGCAAGUUCGCUCGACAGCAACAACGGGGUAUAAUCGGUCAACCGCAAACACGCAGCAAGGUGCUCGGAAGGAACUUUUUCUUUCGAGCAAACAUGUGAUGGGAGCCAAUCGUGUGUUAUCCUCGGUUUUCUGUCACCCAAAAUCCGCGGCUUAAUCUGUCACCAUUAAGCUGAACGAGAGCCAGUAUUAUUCGAAAUGUGGAUACUAGGUCAUUAGUACAUAAGCGACCCGUCCAGUACGGAUACCCCUUACUGUACAAACGAAGAAGUCACGUCACGUUUAUACUUAUCAACCAUAAUCAACAGUGCAGCAUACUUAUUCCUGGUCGAAGACUUCGGCCAUAUGGAAAACGUGCUCCACCCGCAGCAAAUAUAUUACAAGGCGUUACGCCAUGGCAGAGGAGUGCGAAGUAUUCAACUGCAGCAGGAGAAAGUCCGCUAACCGAAACUAGUCCUGUCAGCAACUAAUUAGUUAUAAUGGCUCUGUAAAAAAACUAAUUGCGCGCAACAGACAAACGCAGGUGUCAAAACAUUUGAUCAGCACAUUGGAAGCUUGGUUCGCAACAUCAUCCCGGGUGUCAGAAACACUGUCACAUGAUGAUUAAGACGUAGGACAUCAGUACUGUACAAUGCAGCUCUCUAAUCAAAAGGCUGGCACACAAUAUUGGAAGCAAACAAAUCAGUUACAACAAUCUCGG